UACUAAGAUGUGUGUCAAGUUAAAACAGCAAAUGGUGUAUUUGUGUGAGUGCAAUACCAUCUCCACCCAGCUGGCACGUGGCUCACAGAAAAUCAAGCCCACCCGUCUCUCUCACUCAGGCCUUCAGGAGCCUAUAAGGCAACCCAGCACACCUGUGUUUGGGAUAAUCUCUACAAACAAAGACCUCAUCUUUAAGCUCCUGCAGAAACACCACUGGUUUUCAACCUGCUUGGGUGUCAUGUAUUGGAAAGUACAGUGAUUUAAAG